GUACACACCGCCCGUCGCUGUUACCGAUUGAAUGGUUUAGUGAGCUGGGAGGAGUUUUGUUUCGGGCUUGCCUGGGACGGGAUGAAUCCUAUCAAACUUGACCCUUUAGAGGAAGCAAAAGUUGUAACAAGGUUUCCGUAGGUGAACCUGCAGAAGGAUCA
rnacentral:rRNA from 1 species